AUUUUCUCGCAUCAAUAACGAAAGUACAUUUUAAGGAAAACUAUUUCCUUCUGUUUACAUGUUAACACUGAGCACUGAGCGUAUUUCUGUAGACAUUUGGAACUAAUCUGAUUGCUUUUAUGUAGAGAGAAUUUAGUAACACAUGAACCCACGCCAACAACCUGCCAGAUUUAUAAGGACGUUAUACAAGGCCCGGCCACCACGUGGUGGUCGGGGUUCAAACCCAGAACACGCGCAGAGGAAGAGUACAGUAGCCCUGGCGCGGGAUAUAGCAUGCCCCCUUGUAACCAAAGAGAUUUCUACACAAUCCUCAAUCCCAACAGACGCCAGUUUAUCAACAAGCCUUCAACUACGGACAGUAUUCAGCAUCGGGACCGUGUCCGCAAUGGUGCCACCAUAUGUUCAGCCGCACCCUUUCCUCCCUCAACAAUGAAUCAUUAUCAGCAAAUUACACCACCCCCUUAUUUGCCACCACAGUAUCAAAUAUACACUCUAGUUACACACAAGAUGUACACGAGGCAGGAAACCAAUACAAGGAAAUGCAACCAUAUCUGAGAGGGAUCCUGUUGAAUUUUUGUCGGAAUACGACCGCUGACAACUUUUCUUGAGAAAACUACAACUUCGGGUCAUAUAUGUUUCGCUGUUGAAGUUGACGGUCGCGAAUUUAAAGGCUAUGCUUGACUAAGAUAGGGGCCAAACAAAAUGCAGCAAUUGAUGCCUUAAGACAUAGUUCAAUAUCGUCUGUAAAACACAGUGGACUCGGAUUCUGACAACGAGAGCAUUGCCAGUGAAGUUUCAAACCAGACACAGCAUAGCAAAUCCUAGACAGACCAGAACAAUUCAGAGGUUCUCGGAUGUUCAAGACGAAAUGGAAAAAAACGUAUUCACCUUUCUUGUCAAAGAAUGUGGUGGCUGCAUAGUACUGCAAUAUUUAAAGAAAAAUUCAAUGGCCUUCGGGAAGAUUUCGAUGAGUGGAUAUUGAAUAGAAAAACCAUAUGGCUGUUUACAAGAAAGCUGGAAAGGCAACUUACAUUGCCCCUCUCUUUAAAGGUGCCAAGGUUUGCUGUUUUUAUGGAGGUAACAAAUCUUGUAGGAAUCAAACCUGCUGGCAUUUUCAUAUAUGCAAGUUUGAUCUUUUUGGGCGCUGUAAAAAGGGUAUAAAAUGUCGGUUGAGCAUAAUUUCGAAACAGGAAAUAACAAAGACUUAAGUUUAGAUUGGGCCUUGAUGAAUUUUCGGAUAGAGAAAUCAAAAUAAUUCUGCAAUGUAGAUAUCCUCAAGUAUGCCCUGCCUCGCAAUGUGAAGCACCAACUCCAUUUGAUUGUCCGUUUCUUCACACUUGUUUCAAUUUUUUAAAAAACAAAUGUAAGGUUCGAAGUGUGAAAAAGGUCAUACAUUUCAGAUCGUACAAUAAGUGGGUUCUAUCUGUUUAUGGAAUGAAAAAUGGUCAGAAGAAAAACUAAACCCUCUGAUUGUUUGCGGAAAAUACCUAUGAUGAUACAAAAAUAGUACAUUAUCUCCUGAUGAAGAACCCGAUCUGGCAUCGGAUUUUGAGUCCUUUUGGUAGAGAACGAAGCAGAAGGAGAGGAUGACAAAAAUGGAUGUUUAUAAUGGUGUAGGUCACAGGUUGAAACUAAAAUGACUAUCUGACUCUAAUAUGACUACUGAAAAGAUUUGGACCACUGCACAUUAUCCACUGGUCACUACUGAGACAGAGACUACGUUGAAGCACUAAGGACCAAAUAUAGCACAUCAACUGGCUGAAUUGCACAUUUGUCAUCAUCAACAGUAUAGACCUCUGCACAUUAACCAUGGCCCACUAUAUAGGAAAAAAGAUAGACUUGUAGCACAAAGGACAAUCUAGGAUUAAAAUCAGGAUUAAAGUUUUCAACAUUACGUUAAAAAUUUUAACCAAUGAACCACCAUUUCUGAGCACAUUUAUACAAAACUUAAAAUAACUAUAUUCACCAGUUAGUGAUGAUAUCAAUAACUUGCAUUAAAGUGAUUUUUCGUUAAAAUGGGCAUUACAUACGUUUAUUUUUCCCAUUGAUAUUUCAUUAAAUUUAAUUCGUUUAGUUAUCAUGGAGUGAAAUUUCGAUACACUAUUACUGAAAACAUAUUGUAAAAACGUUAAGAUUACAUUCCUUUAUUUGUUAUUCAUUUGCAAUAUUUUCUAUCACAUUUUAAAUAAAAAAAGAUUGAUAAAAUUGACUCACUUCAACUGAAGUUUUACUCCAUGUCAUAUGUCACUCAUGCUUAUAGUGAUAGUUACUAUUGUGUACGAUUCUUAUGAUGCAUCAUUAUCGGGAAUUAGGCUUGGAGUUUCGAUAUUUUUUAUUCACCUACCGGGGCGGCAAAAGUUCAAAUAAAAUGCUUUUAUACCAUC
rnacentral:sRNA from 1 species